UACGAAGGGGGCUAGCGUUGCUCGGAAUCACUGGGCGUAAAGGGUGCGUAGGCGGGUCGUUUAAGUCGGGGGUGAAAUCCUGGAGCUCAACUCCAGAACUGCCUUCGAUACUGGCGAUCUUGAGUCUGGGAGAGGUGAGUGGAAUUCCGUAGUGUAGAGGUGAAAUUCGUAGAUAUUAGGAAGAACACCAGUGGCGAAGGCGGCUCACUGGCCCGGUACUGACGCUGAGGCGCGAAA
rnacentral:rRNA from 1 species